UUUUUCAAAGUGCUGCAUUUCAAUGCAACCAACUAAAUGCAUUUUUUAUGUGACAUUUAGGGACAUGUAAAUCUAAAAUGAGAAGUUUCAAAUUAAAUGCAAUGCAAUAUAAUUUGGGGUGAAAAUGUGCAUAAUCAAAAUAUGACCAGGAGAUAUAAAGCAGCCAUAAAGUCUUUUCCGCCUGUUCUGGUUUCAUCUAUAAAAUAUGUUACAUAUAAGCCAGAACAAGUGAACAAGACUUGUAAAAAAAAUCUAUAAAAUAUUUGAUGCAACUUUGGCAAAUCCAGCAACCAGUUCCUCUUCAGAAACACUCACAGUAACACCUGGGGACCUGUAAACAUGCCUUAAAUUUCCUGACAGACUGAUGAAAACCUGUGCAUCAUCAUUCCCAGAAAUUGCCUUAUUUUGUCCUUCUCUUGUCCUUUUCCUUUCUCUCACUUUUGUACCUCUCUUUGUAUCUGUACUUUCGGAGCGACUGUAAUUGAAUAACCUUUACGUCAAUAGAGUAACACUCUCUGCUCCUUCUCAAAGGGUCACGGAGACGAAACACAGCAUAUUGUGAACUCAUUGAAGGCUUUAUGAACUGUGACUGUUUCAAGGGAGUAGGGUUUCCCGUACGGACCAUAACUACAUAAAACAUACCAUAUGGGUUACCGUAAUCUACCAUGCAUCUCAACCUGUGAUGUGACGAUGGCCCAGAUCAGAUUAAAUCAGACAUGAUAUCUCGGGCCCUGGGCUUCACAGAUGAAGCAUGGGCUUAGAUCAGAUGUCCUCACAGUGCCAGCGCUUGGCUGCCAAACUCUGCGGCACCCAUCUGCCCUUUACAACAUGACCUCAUCGGCACGGCACGCCACUCACGUGUUUGAGAGGGACACGGUGAGUUCACUAGUCUAUAAUCAUCGUCUUACAGCACGCUCCAAACAUGCAUUGUAAAGCCGGAUAUUACUGGGAUGACUCAGUAAAUCUAUUGCUUUGAUUAGUUUAGUGCUCGAGAGAGACUGCCAGCAUGUUCUAGAUUCUCUGCUUCAAUCCCGGGACACUCAAAAGGGCUGCAACAUCUAAUUCAACAUCAUUUUAUCUAUUGAAAGGGAUUUCUGCACCACAAGCAGAUCAAAUGGCAUAUUGCUAAUAUAAUGACUGUUUCCAAACAGGUUUUCAAACAUGAAUCAGGAAGCGUAGUGAGUUGAAAUGAGCACUCAUUAGAGACAAUCAGUGUUAUUAUAGUAUAAUUUCAUAUAUAUUAUAGUAUUUAUUAAUAUUUGGAGUUUUUAUUUUAUUUUAUAAUAUCAGGUUUCAUUUUAGUUUACAUUUUAGUAAU